rnacentral:sRNA from 1 species
AUUACAAUUAAACAAGUGUGUUCAUGCAUGCUAUCAGUUACGAUAGGUUUUGUCAUCAUUAAUUAGUUGUAACAGAGAACUUUUAAGGACCUUUAGGGCAUCUCCAUCCAUGAAAAACCCACAAAGUUUCUCAAACAAAAAAAUUAUUAAUAUUAUAUUAUAAUUUAAUUAUUUGAUUAAAAAAGUAUUUUUGUUAAAAAAUUGAACCAAUAAUAAGAUGAGACUUGUCAUGAUGGGUUGUAGAGAAUAUCUCAGAGUUUCUCAAGUGAGAAACUUUCGACACUCUCUCUCUUUUAUUUUCAUUAUUUUUAUUUUUUUAAUUGUGAGAAACUCUUAUGAGAUACCCCAUAUGGUCUUAGAUAUUGAUUCCUCUAGAGUAUGUGCUUUUCUUUAUUAUUAUUUUUAUUUUAUUUUUAAAU